rnacentral:rRNA from 1 species
UCGAGAAUCUUCCGCAAUGGGCGAAAGCCUGACGGAGCGACGCCGCGUGAUUGAUGAAGUCCUUCGGGACGUAAAGAUCUUUUAUGGGGGAGGAAGUAAUUGACGUUACCCCAUGAAUAAGAGGCUCCUAACUCUGUGCCAGCAGGAGCGGUAAUACAGAGGCCUCAAGCGUUACCCGGAAUCACUGGGCGUAAAGGGUGUGUAGGCGGUUGUGUUAGUCUUUCGUGAAAGGCUUUGGGCUUAACCCAGAGAGCGCGGGGGAAACGGCACGACUUAGAGGAUGCGAGAGGUAAAGGGAACUCAAGGUGUAGGGGUGAAAUCCGUUGAUAUCUUGGGGAACACCAAAUGCGAAGGCACUUUACUGGCGCACUCCUGACGCUGAAACACGAAAGCGUGGGAAUCGAACGGGAUUAGAUACCCGCGUAGUCC